GAACCGAAGAGCACUUCUUGAUAUUGGAAAUGUUGUCACUCUAAAAGGUGUUGAAGUCAAGCCAAAUCGCCUUGUCACAAGGUUCUUUCCCUAUCUCUCUCUCUCACAUUCUAUCUAAUUUUGUGAUUUUCUCUCUGAUUUUGAGAUUCCCUCUCUGAUUCCCUAUUGAUUUUGAUGAUUCUUUUAGGAGUUUUUGUGCACAACUACUUGCCAAUGCUCAAGCAGCAGCAGUUAAUGAGAAUAACAAGGUUCUCUUAUAUUAUUUGUUGAAUCUCUUUCAUUGAUUAAUUGAUUAAUUGAUUAAUUGAUUUAAUUUAGUUUAUGUUAUCCAUUGGUAAGUUAGUGAUGAUGAUUGGUCUUUUUUUUUAUACUCAAUAUAUACUGAGUUUUCUUUGUGGGUGUUAGUGUGUUACAGGGGAGAGGGCCUAUAAAUGUAUGGUUUACUAUGGAACCCAUGGCAGCCAGAGGUUCAAAUACUUAGCUUGGGAUUUUGGAUAGUGUCAGAGUUUACAGGGGCGAGAGCCUAUAAAUGUAUAUGUAUCAGGAAUGUAAGUACGAGUGAAGCAAGGAUGAGGAAUUCCCUACAACUUAGUUUGGCACAAGAAUCUGCACUUUCAUUUUGGUUAUCUCUACUCUGAUUAUGAAUUCUUCACGUUUCUUUGUAUUUUUUGAGGAUCUGUUUUUUUAUUACAAGGACCUGUUUUUGCUUUGGUGUUACAGGGGAGAGAGCUAUGAUUGUACUGUGGGAUUUGGAAGCUUUGAGCCUUUGGAUUCUACGGGUUAUUUCUUUGCUUGAGUGUUGUUUGUUCUGGAAUAGGGUGUCAUAGUAUAAUGUGGCAGUGUUGGUAUUUAUUUUUGUUUAGAAUUAUGAAUCUAUCUAAUAUUAGCAUUGCAUUUAUUUCUUGGAUAAUAAAGAUAUAAGUCAAAUUUCUUCAAUGAGUUGUUCUUUACUAUUUUUUAGUUUUGGGCUUUGUUCAUAAUUG
rnacentral:lncRNA from 1 species